rnacentral:rRNA from 1 species
UGAUCAUGGCUCAGAACGAACGCUGGCGGCAGGCUUAACACAUGCAAGUCGAACGAGAAGCUUCUUUCGGGAAGUGGAGAGUGGCGCACGGGUGAGUAACGCGUGGGGAUCUAACCCUUUGGUACGGGAUAACGUUUGGAAACGAACGCUAAUACCGUAUGUGGUCUACGGACUAAAGAUUUAUCGCCAAAGGAUGAACCCGCGUAAGAUUAGAUAGUUGGUGGGGUAAUGGCCUACCAAGUCUACGAUCUUUAGCUGGUCUGAGAGGACGAUCAGCCACACUGGAACUGAGACACGGUCCAGACUCCUACGGGAGGCAGCAGUGGGGAAUAUUGGACAAUGGGCGCAAGCCUGAUCCAGCCAUGCCGCGUGAGUGAAGAAGGCCUUAGGGUUGUAAAGCUCUUUCGCUAGGGAAGAUAAUGACGGUACCUAGUAAAGAAGUCCCGGCUAACUCCGUGCC